CGAAACUUUCUUACACCGAAUGCUUGCAUUCACCGUAAGAAGUUGAGUGGCGGACGGGUGAGUAACACGUGGGUAACCUGCCUAAAAGAAGGGGAUAACACUUGGAAACAGGUGCUAAUACCGUAUAUCUCUAAGGAUCGCAUGAUCCUUAGAUGAAAGAUGGUUCUGCUAUCGCUUUUAGAUGGACCCGCGGCGUAUUAACUAGUUGGUGGGGUAACGGCCUACCAAGGUGAUGAUACGUAGCCGAACUGAGAGGUUGAUCGGCCACAUUGGGACUGAGACACGGCCCAAACUCCUACGGGAGGCAGCAGUAGGGAAUCUUCCACAAUGGACGCAAGUCUGAUGGAGCAACGCCGCGUGAGUGAAGAAGGUCUUCGGAUCGUAAAACUCUGUUGUUAGAGAAGAACACGAGUGAGAGUAACUGUUCAUUCGAUGACGGUAUCUAACCAGCAAGUCACGGCUAACUACGUGCCAGCAGCCGCGGUAAUACGUAGGUGGCAAGCGUUGUCCGGAUUUAUUGGGCGUAAAGGGAACGCAGGCGGUCUUUUAAGUCUGAUGUGAAAGCCUUCGGCUUAACCGGAGUAGUGCAUUGGAAACUGGAAGACUUGAGUGCAGAAGAGGAGAGUGGAACUCCAUGUGUAGCGGUGAAAUGCGUAGAUAUAUGGAAGAAC
rnacentral:rRNA from 2 species